UGCAGUGCUCUUAAGUGUGAGGGAUCCUAUGCACACCUUGAAAUACCUUUUCACUUCAUAUUUGAAAAUGUGUGUGCCUGUGUAUUCAUAAUGGGCAGAGAUGAUAAAGGCUCUCACUGGCAUGAAAACUCAACACAGUAUAGGCAGCUGCUGUGAAACAGAAUAUUACGGGUUUAUCCUGAUGCAUAUAGAGGAAAAU
ensembl:misc_RNA